UUAAGCGACUAAGCGUACACGGUGGAUGCCCUGGCAGUCAGAGGCGAUGAAGGACGUGCUAAUCUGCGAUAAGCGUCGGUAAGGUGAUAUGAACCGUUAUAACCGGCGAUUUCCGAAUGGGGAAACCCAGUGUGAUUCGUCACACUAUCAUUAACUGAAUCCAUAGGUUAAUGAGGCGAACCGGGGGAACUGAAACAUCUAAGUACCCCGAGGAAAAGAAAUCAACCGAGAUUCCCCCAGUAGCGGCGAGCGAACGGGGAGCAGCCCAGAGCCUGAAUCAGUGUGUGUGUUAGUGGAAGCGUCUGGAAAGGCGCGCGAUACAGGGUGACAGCCCCGUACACAAAAAUGCACAUACUGUGAGCUCGAUGAGUAGGGCGGGACACGUGGUAUCCUGUCUGAAUAUGGGGGGACCAUCCUCCAAGGCUAAAUACUCCUGACUGACCGAUAGUGAACCAGUACCGUGAGGGAAAGGCGAAAAGAACCCCGGCGAGGGGAGUGAAAAAGAACCUGAAACCGUGUACGUACAAGCAGUGGGAGCACGCUUCGGCGUGUGACUGCGUACCUUUUGUAUAAUGGGUCAGCGACUUAUAUUCUGUAGCAAGGUUAACCGAAUAGGGGAGCCGAAGGGAAACCGAGUCUUAACUGGGCGUUAAGUUGCAGGGUAUAGACCCGAAACCCGGUGAUCUAGCCAUGGGCAGGUUGAAGGUUGGGUAACACUAACUGGAGGACCGAACCGACUAAUGUUGAAAAAUUAGCGGAUGACUUGUGGCUGGGGGUGAAAGGCCAAUCAAACCGGGAGAUAGCUGGUUCUCCCCGAAAUCUAUUUAGGUAGAGCCUUGAGCGGACACCUUCGGGGGUAGAGCACUGUUUCGGCUAGGGGUCCAUCCCGGAUUACCAACCCGAUGCAAACUACGAAUACCGAAGAGUGAUACUCAGGAGACACACGGCGGGUGCUAACGUCCGUCGUGGAGAGGGAAACAACCCAGACCGCCAGCUAAGGUCCCAAAGUCAUGGUUAAGUGGGAAACGAUGUGGGAAGGCCCAGACAGCCAGGAUGUUGGCUUAGAAGCAGCCAUCAUUUAAAGAAAGCGUAAUAGCUCACUGGUCGAGUCGGCCUGCGCGGAAGAUGUAACGGGGCUAAACCAUGCACCGAAGCUGCGGCAGCGACACUAUGUGUUGUUGGGUAGGGGAGCGUUCUGUAAGCCUGUGAAGGUGUACUGUGAGGUAUGCUGGAGGUAUCAGAAGUGCGAAUGCUGACAUAAGUAACGAUAAAACGGGUGAAAAACCCGUUCGCCGGAAGACCAAGGGUUCCUGUCCAACGUUAAUCGGGGCAGGGUGAGUCGACCCCUAAGGCGAGGCCGAAAGGCGUAGUCGAUGGGAAACAGGUUAAUAUUCCUGUACUUGGUGUUACUGCGAAGGGGGGACGGAGAAGGCUAUGUUGGCCGGGCGACGGUUGUCCCGGUUUAAGCGUGUAGGCUGGUUUUCCAGGCAAAUCCGGAAAAUCAAGGCUGAGGCGUGAUGACGAGGCACUACGGUGCUGAAGCAACAAAUGCCCUGCUUCCAGGAAAAGCCUCUAAGCAUCAGGUAACAUCAAAUCGUACCCCAAACCGACACAGGUGGUCAGGUAGAGAAUACCAAGGCGCUUGAGAGAACUCGGGUGAAGGAACUAGGCAAAAUGGUGCCGUAACUUCGGGAGAAGGCACGCUGAUAUGUAGGUGAAGCGACUUGCUCGUGGAGCUGAAAUCAGUCGAAGAUACCAGCUGGCUGCAACUGUUUAUUAAAAACACAGCACUGUGCAAACACGAAAGUGGACGUAUACGGUGUGACGCCUGCCCGGUGCCGGAAGGUUAAUUGAUGGGGUUAGCGCAAGCGAAGCUCUUGAUCGAAGCCCCGGUAAACGGCGGCCGUAACUAUAACGGUCCUAAGGUAGCGAAAUUCCUUGUCGGGUAAGUUCCGACCUGCACGAAUGGCGUAAUGAUGGCCAGGCUGUCUCCACCCGAGACUCAGUGAAAUUGAACUCGCUGUGAAGAUGCAGUGUACCCGCGGCAAGACGGAAAGACCCCGUGAACCUUUACUAUAGCUUGACACUGAACAUUGAGCCUUGAUGUGUAGGAUAGGUGGGAGGCUUUGAAGUGUGGACGCCAGUCUGCAUGGAGCCGACCUUGAAAUACCACCCUUUAAUGUUUGAUGUUCUAACGUUGACCCGUGAUCCGGGUUGCGGACAGUGUCUGGUGGGUAGUUUGACUGGGGCGGUCUCCUCCUAAAGAGUAACGGAGGAGCACGAAGGUUGGCUAAUCCUGGUCGGACAUCAGGAGGUUAGUGCAAUGGCAUAAGCCAGCUUGACUGCGAGCGUGACGGCGCGAGCAGGUGCGAAAGCAGGUCAUAGUGAUCCGGUGGUUCUGAAUGGAAGGGCCAUCGCUCAACGGAUAAAAGGUACUCCGGGGAUAACAGGCUGAUACCGCCCAAGAGUUCAUAUCGACGGCGGUGUUUGGCAC
rnacentral:rRNA from 1 species